AGGCGUGUGCUCUUCUGAUCUCCUUGGGAAAGGGGGUUCUGGAUUGUAAACUUGGCAAGAGACUCUUUAAAAAGAUUUACAUGCAUCUCAAAGGAGCAGGGGAAAAACUGCAAUGAAUUUUAAACAUUAAUGCUCUUUGAAAAACCGGAGGAGGGGUGGGGGAGAGGUCUGGAUUUAGGAAGACGUCCGUCUGAAGUUCAGUUUAGCCGAGGAGAACAGUGAGGGCAUCUUGACCACCUGCCAUGUUACCUGCCUGAAAUGCCUUCUGCUCCAUCACCCGCUGGCCCAUUCCCUGAGCCUCAGAGCCAGUGAGGCUGUGGACCUCU